UUGUACAAAUGUUGUUGUACCAAAUGAUUCACAGAUGGCGAUUUUAAACGCUUUAGAAUAAUUUUUUCAAUCGUAGCGCGACAAAUUCAAAGAUUCAAAAGCACAAUCUGUCUCGAAAUCAUUGACUGUAUCGGCUGAAUCAACGUUAACAUUGAAAAUUUUCUAACUGUUUCUUGAUUUUAUUUCGGACUGGGGAAUUGAUUAAGAUUUCGGAACCACCUGCUCUGAAGAGAGUAGUGGUAAAAUUUUAAAUGAGAUAAUAGGAGUUUUCAAAUCACCAUGCAUAUUAGUUAAUGAAGCGGACGAAGGGGGGAAGUGGCUGUAAAUCUGGAAGUAAGUCAGAAUACGAAGCGCAUAUUUUUUUCAUUGUACCUCAGUUAAAUUAAUCGGGAAUGAGGAUGAUGCCAGCAAUGAUCUUUUGUUGGGUUCUAUCAGCUACCAUCUUUGAUGUGUUCUUAGAAUUGCGCGCCGUUAACGCCAAGACGAUGAUGGUGGAAACACAAGACAGGGAGAAGGAGGAGGAAGAGGAUGAGGACGGGGAGUAAAAGAAGAAGCAGAAAGAGGUGAAGGAAAGAAGCUGCGCGCAAGGACCUAGGGGAAGGGGGGGACGCUGAAGCGACGAAAAAAAAAAGAAAUAAAAAGGAUAUGCCAAGAAAAGGACGAGAGUGGGCAGAGGAAACCAUAAGAGGAUCGGAUGAUAAACCUGCAGACCAAAAAAGAAGAAAGAAAAACAAUGAAUAACAAAAAGGAAGAACAGGAGAGCCUGCGGAGCAAAGCCGACGCUUUCGCAGCUAAAAAGCCGCGCUUUUCUAUUUCUUUUAUUUUCACACUUUUCACCCCUCCUAUAUGUGUUCCAAUCCAUUUUUUUUUUUUUGCUUGUUUUUAUGUUUCUUUUGUGCGCUGCUCGGACCAGCUGCCGGUCCGGUACCACGUUGAGUAAGUUUGGAGCAGCCAACUUGAAUUAUUCCUAUAAGAAUUCGUAUCGUAGAUGGCAGUCAUUUUCAAUUUUGCGAGAACCUUUUUAUUUUUUCUUUUCUCUACCUCCGCGUAUAUGCGGUUGGAUUAUUAAAAUUAUCGUCGUACGGUGCAGAAGAACGUGUACCUGCUGAUCCGAACUUCCGACUUCCGGUAGACGCAGGUUAUUAUUAUACCAUUGUGCAAUACCGCACCACAAUCUUAAUCCGUUGCAUUGCAUUUUGCUAUGCUGCAGUCGUAUGUAUGUGACGCGGUCCUCGCUGCAGUAUAGGUAUAGUUAGCGAUGAUAUUUUUAAACUGCUUAGUUUCUACAGAGUCUUCAUUCUGACCGUGUACGCUAAUGUAGAAACAAAAACUAUACCGGUUGAAGUCGCUAAACGCGAUCGGAGUUUUAUGUUACAUAACGAUUUCAUUGCAUUAUACAUAUGCCACGCUUUUGUCGAACUAAUUGUGCAUAGAUUUUUUCCACAGACACCUUCUCGGAAUAUGAGAAAUUAUGACUGAUCACUCGUCAUCCGAAGGCGCGAGAUUUUUUCCGGGGUCACGAUUUUCGGGGAAAUGAAAAACUCUGGUGUAUUUGUCGCGGAUGCCUUCUGUCCUCGGACCAUGGCCGCCCGCAUAACUACUGGAUUUCCGUCACGGCAGCGGGUGACAAUACGAACGCCGACGUUUCCGAGGAAUCUGCGCGAGUACUCGCCUAAUAAUUUUCACAUAUUGCGACGACAUUCAAGUCCCACGCUGGGCCGUCGCCAUAGCGACUCGAGAGACGUCGAAGGCAAUCGAUCGAAAGUUUGCCAGGGAAUCGACGCCAAUGAAUUUAAACGAAUUAGGGAACAUCGGAAGACUAUCAACCCUUAUUUACGAAUUACCCCUCUUUUCUGUUCCUUCAAAUUUCACUCACUCAAGUGCAUGGGGAGAAGCUGAAUUCACGAUACAUCGUUCGUUGUGGCCCAUCGUUUCGUUCCGAGAUUCGAAUCAAAUUAUGGAUAUAUUUUGUAUAAUUUUUUUUUGACAUCACAUCGUUACUUCAGUUUCGUAGCUUUCAUUCUUCCGAUCCGUGUCGCGCGUUACUUUAAGGUCAUGCGACCGUAUACGCAAUAUGGCGAGAUCGUGAGAAAAGGGAGAAGAUCAGGAAGGCAUGACGUUAAAUAAAACGCCCGGUGAUUUGGCCGGUUCACUGGUUGGAGCGAUUCCAGGUACAAUUAGGAAAGACCCCGCUGCUACCGUUAUGCUCAUUCGAAGAACUCCAGAUGGAUGCAUGGUUAACAAUUUUUGACAAAAAAUAAUUCGAUAUAUAUCGCCGGCGCGCACGUGUCGUCGAAUCGCCACCAAUCGGCAAAAAAAAACUUGGAUGAAAUUACCGUUCGAUCGAAAUCGGUGCGAAGAUGCAGAAUUUUUUUUUAACCGUCUUUGCUUUGACGAAUUUUCGUUUCGUUUUUAUCUCUAUGUAUUAUCACUUUGCCCACAAUACACGGUAUAUCUUUAAUGAAUAAAUGUAUGUAUACUUUUUGUAGAAAUACUACAGCCGCUCUUUGCAGCACUUUAUCUCGUCCAUUGAGGAAAUGGUUAAAGUUUAACCUUUCACCACGUGAUCUGCACGCAUCUACGCGGUUAUACCGUCUGUAUACGGGGCAAUUAUUGCAGAAUAAUGAAUGAAUUUCUUGUACAGGCAUGCCUAAACGUAUGUGUGUAGUACAAAGAAUCGUAUUCCAAAAGAAUCUUUUUGCGACAAGUUAGUUCGAUGAGAAAAAAUCGACUUGAUCUUCAUCCGAUAUUAUACGAAUGUAGGUAUGACGAGUCAAAUAACGUAUAUCUGUACGGAAACUAAGGCACAUGGACAAUUCGGUAGAAAUCACAACGAAGAAGAUGAAGUAUAUCGAUAUUUCAUGUAGGGUUUCCAAACCGGAAAUACCAUGCAAUUUUACAGCAGGAGUAGCGUAACAACGUAAAUUAACGAUGAGUCAGUAUCUUAUAACGCGAGCUGUCCGCGGUUGCGAAAACGUCUUUCCUCUUAAGAUCCUUCUCAAAUGCGGUUUAAUAUUAUUACCGCUUCGCAUUGCUGGUAUAACUUUUCCAAGAAUAAACGUCGAGUUUCUUCUCUACAACCGCUAUGUUAGCUCCGGGUAUCCAUAUUCAGAACUUAAUCGAGAAAUACUUUUUUUUUUUCACGUAUCUCCCUCUACCUUUUUCUCCGUUAUCUCCGGGGGUUACACGAUUGACUUCCAGGAACACCGGAUGAAAAUCUGUUGUCUAUGGAAGAGGCCUGUACGAGAAUACCCGUGCAUACCCAUUCAGAAAAUUCGUAUCAUUCGAAUGAGGUGAAUCGACCGAUGUUCAUUCCGCCUUUGUCCCUCGGUUUCAAAAUUCUUUUCUCAAAUCUCAGACAUAAUUUUUCCGUGGAUCGCGUUAAUCCUCGUCGACACGUCCCCAUAAAUACCUAGGUAUUUACAAAUUAAGUAGCGAUAUUCGAGGAAUUUCACCUGCAUAGUUGAAAAACCGAAAAUAGACAGAUUUCUCGUUAAAAGCGCGCGACUAUACGCAACGUCGGGAUGGGAUAGGCGUGUGCAUAUGUGUAUGCCAGUUUCCCCGCGAAGUAAUAGUGCAACAGCACCUAUAGUAGUCGGAUGAGAAGGUUGUUGGACGUGGGUCGAAGUGGGGGAUAGACUGGGGAAGCCCUCUUCGCUAUCCGGAGGUGGAGGCUAUUCGCGGCUAUCCCGGGGACCGAGAAUAGCCUUAAAUCGCCCUCCUCCACACCCAGGGCAGUGAAACGUACGAUAGAAUCUACGGGAGUAGAUGCCGUCGUAUUCUCGUACAAAAAGAGAGAGAGCGAGAGAAAACGAGAGAGGCGAGCCAGCUUUAUCCCAUAUGCAUAUGCCUGCUUCUGGUGGAUGAGAGCCAAUAUUUUCAUCUGAAGAAGUCGGAGCGACGCGACGUGCGGGCAAAUAUGUGUGCGUAGAGGCCGCGCGGCGACCUUUCGACUCCUCCCAUCGCCUUGGGGCCCGAUUACGACCGCAGGAAUUCCUUUUAUUUUAAUUUAUUUUUCUUUCGUUUUCUCCAUUAUUUUACUUUAUUUUUCUUUGGUUCGAGCCUUCUGCCAAGUCAUCGCCUUCCUAUUAUUCAUCGACGAUAACAUUCGGUUUGGCAAAUUGAUUAAUUUGUCAUACUCCUCUUGAUUUUCCGUUAUUUUUUGUUAAUUUUUGAUUUCCGAAAAAUUUUUGGUCCUAAAAUUGACUUGAGAUCCUGGGGAAACCUUUUCCGAAGUCUCGGCGCCGUCUCAAUGAGACGGAGUCUGCGGAGACCAACUGCGAACACGACUACGGGAGCGAGAAAAAGAGGAUGGCGAAAAAAAGACGAAGACGAAGAAGAAGAUAGACUCCGACUUGGAUGUGUUGUACAUUCUCAACCACCCACGUACGCACGACGGAUAGAAACUCUGAUGGCGUAACAUUUGCGACGCGGAUAAACAUGCCAGUCGUUUCCAAAAUUAAUUUCCUCAACACGUGCAUGAAAUCGGCCCUUUUUCUCGCAUGUAAAGUGGACGGGGAAAUUGGUCAUUUCUAGCGUGGACUCGGCUACCUCCCUGGGGCAAAAAUCGACGUUACCUCUCUAGGGAUCAAUGUACUCUUUUUCAAAAUUUCAAAACGCACGAAAAAAGGCCUAUACCCGCACUUGUUGAAAAGUGAAGGGGAGGGAGAACAGAUCCUCCAGAUCUUCUCGAUCGAGCGAUCAAUUGACGAAGAUCGUGUCUUUUCGCUUCCCCAUUUCGUUUUCUAUCGUUUUGUUUUUUGAUUUUACGGGGACAUGUUUGAAUUCAUCAAUUCCUAAUACGUUUCUUAGUCUCUGUCGGUUUUU
rnacentral:lncRNA from 1 species